ensembl:lincRNA
AUGACAAAUGAGAUGCUGCCACUACAGAAAUACAACAAUGACAUACAAUCAAUGGAGGAUGCCUGCUCCCCAUACCUCAUGUGGAUUUUGAGGAGGAAGCCACAGCAGAAAAGUAGAAGUCCCUCUACUGUGGCUACAUGCAUUACUAUUCUACAACCAAAUUUCACAGGACCUGUCUUGUGGAGUUCAUAUGGAAUGUGAUCAGUGUUGAUGAAGAUACUUCUGAACUGUGGUGCCAUAUACUACAGAAUUCAUAGUGACGGUAAUGAAGAAGAUGAUCGUGACAAUGACAAAAGCUAUAAAAUGAAACAUGGACUUUUCAUCUUGGUCCUUGUACCAACUCUUUACUUCCCCUUGAUGUUCUCCUCUCUUCUACUCCAGCCAACAUGACAGGGAGAUCUUCACUUCCCUUAAAAGGAAGGAAUCAUUUAAGACUUGAACAUCUACUAAGCUCAAAUUCUGUUUAAUUUUCAAUUAUAGGAAAUGCAGAAUACAGUUCCUGAGAAAUUAUUUUGAGGGCUUAUACCAGUAUAAUUUGGGGCUGUGAGAUGGUGAAAUUGUGUCUUUUAAAUUGGAAUUAUAAGAAAAUAAUAAAUGGGACUCCACUGGAAUAUUUAUUUGAGGUCCUAAGAGUUCCCAAACAUUCUUGUUCUGACAGUCUGAAUCAAAACAAAUGCUUCUAUAUCUUAAACAUUUCCUAGAAUGAUGAACUUUUCCCUUAUUUAGAAAAAGAAAUAGUUUGAAUUUUAAAGUUGUACUCAAAUAGUGCUUGAAAGAGCAAACAUUUCAUUUAGAAAUUCUUUCCUAAUGGCUAAAUUUUUCAAUCUUCAAAAUUGUCUGUGGGGGGUAGAAAUAAUAUUUCCUUCCCACAAGGAUGCUUUGAAAAGUAAUGAAUUAGUACUUAUUAAGUGCUUGUCUGAAAGGUGAUGUGAAAAACAUAAAACACAUCUUUAUUCCUCUGUUCCAGAUGUUCACCUGCCACUAAUAAGAGCCUGAGCCCCAGGCAUAGUCUUUUGUACUCUCGUCUUUGGAGAGAAUCACCCACACACUCCCUUUGUCCUGGAGAUAAGUCAUAAUUAAUAAUUCAUCCAUUAUACCAUGGCAGACGCAGGGCCAAGGAAGACUUGCCCUGAGCAUUGGAGCUCAGCCCUGCUCCGUCUCGCUCCACUGCCUGUUAUUUGUUUGCAGUGUGGAGCCGUGUCCAUGGUGAAGCCUGCGUGUCCUCACCGCGCAGCACCCCUGUGCGGCUGACUCAGAUCAGUGGCGUUGGGAGACCUACGUGCCACCUUGAACACAGCUGCGCCUCACCGGUGUAAUCAGUAGACUGAAGGGUAAGAAUGAGUCAGUGGUAGGGGAUAAAGGAGCCCUUAAUCAGGGCUGGAAGCUAAGGAAGCAUAUUUUAGAAACAUUUUCUGGUUUAUGGCGGCUCUACGUGGUGCGCCUGAGCUGCCAGGGACCACCUGCUGGCCCCUGCCCAGUACGUGUUUUUCCCUCUCAGCAGAAACUCAGCUAACAAAUUGCAAACUGGCAAAGGGUUAAAACUUUGCUUUAAGAAAGCACAGCACUCCUAGAAUUUAUAAUGCAUGGAAAAUCCAAGAGAUCAUCGUGUCCCUCUGCUCUAAACAAAUAGACCCUAUACCUACUCUGUUCUGUUUUUCCUUUGGCCAUAAGCAUAUGCUGCUAGUAGGCCAGGAUUAACCACUGGAUGUGUUAAGACAGCCUAAAAAGGGAACUAGUCAUGAGCUAAAGAAGCCAUGUGCUAAUCCAGGAACUGAAUAGGAAGCCCAGAAAUGACUGAGUUAAUCUGCCUGCUCAUGACUGUCAGGCUUUGAUCAGUGGCCAAAUCUUUCUAGGGAGACAACACCGCGAGCUUUUAUCCCAAGGGACUUUUGUGGCUGUGUCACGAGUUGGUGAUCUAUGAAGUAUUCCUUGAUGGCAUGUUUAGAGGGAGAGUAAAAAUGUGCUAGAUGGGGUAUGGGACAAUUUAGAAUGGUGUGAUUUCAGAUCACGACCAGAGGAUUUUAAAUUCUAUAAUACCUGGGGAGACAUUCAAUGCAAACUCCUUCUUUUUUUAUAGAUAAGAAAAUAAAAGCCAAAAGAUAACUUCAAAUUGCAUAUUUGUUGGUGCCAGAGAGAAGACCAUGUGGGGGCCUCCCUACUACUCCAUGUUGUACUCCUUAAUCAUACCUUCCUAUUUUUCAACAAAC